GACGAACGCUGGCGGCGUGCUUAACACAUGCAAGUCGAACGGUAAGGCCCUUCGGGGUACACGAGUGGCGAACAGGUGAGUAACACGUGGGUGAUCUGCCCUGCACUUCGGGAUAAGCCUGGGAAACUGGGUCUAAUACCGGAUAGGACCACUGCCUGCAUGGGUGGUGGUGGAAAGCUUUUGCGGUGUGGGAUGGGCCCGCGGCCUAUCAGCUUGUUGGUGGGGUGAUGGCCUACCAAGGCGACGACGGGUAGCCGGCCUGAGAGGGUGACCGGCCACACUGGGACUGAGAUACUGUCCAGACUCCUACGGGAGGCAGCAGUGGGGAAUAUUGCACAAUGGGCGCAAGCCUGAUGCAGCGACGCCGCGUGAGGGAUGACGGCCUUCGGGUUGUAAACCUCUUUCAGCACCGACGAAGCGCAAGUGACGGUAGGUGCAGAAGAAGGACCGGCCAACUACGUGCCAGCCGCCGCCGUAA
rnacentral:rRNA from 1 species